UGGCAUUCCUCUGAAGCUUCAUCUGUUGAUGAUAAGCAAAAUUCUUUUUAAUUUCUCAAAAACUAGGAUGACAAGCCAGACGCUAUGCAAUCAGGUACAGACAUGUGAUUUGAGUUAUGGUAGUUAAUGUUUUCCAGUAAACAUAUUCAGACUUAUUUGGGAGAAAAGAUAAGAGCCUCGAAGCACUUAGACCCUGCUACAAACCCCUGGGAGAGGGUUUCUGCCACCGUAGAUUUGCCACUUAUAGACAAUCAGUCCAUUUUGGGGGUUCUUUGAUUCUUCACACCGAAGCCCUCCUUCUUUCUGGUUCAUUGCCAUAGUCAAGCUAAACAUCCACAAAUUCAGCUGUAUCAAAUCCACAGCUGAAAGCAUUCCACAAAGAGAGAAUGGUAUUAGGAAAAGAGAACGGAAGGUGGCCCAGCAGGACACGCCACUCAAGGCAAACAUGUCAAUGGGAUCGCAGUACCCCAUCUGCACGCGCAGGGUGCUCCCGCCUGUCACUCUAGGAGACUGAGAGCGCCGUUUCUGACUGCAUAUCUGGAUCAAGGGCAUCUUCCCGACCCAGGGGUCGAGCCUGGGUCUCCUGCACUGGUAAGCGGCUCUUCACCACUGAGAUCAGGGAACCCGAGAGUCAGUGUGUGACUGGUGCAAAUGCUAGAAGAGGCUGUAAGGAAACGAGCACUGGCUCCGCUAACGUGGUAAGUGUUUUUGUGAUGUUUUUCUCGGUUAAGUCUCAGGACCUCCUACGCGACCGGCGCUAUCAUCCAUGCCCUGCCUCCUCCCGGCAGGUGCCAUCCUCCGAGAAGUUUGGAAAGGCUGGGAGCGCCCUCCGGGGAGGCCUGGGUACACCAACCCUCUGCAAGCAGGUACCACGAGGGUGGGCACAGGCCAUUCCCCACCU